AUAUUAAAGUUGUUGCAGUUAAAAAGCUCGUAGUUGAAUUUCGGGGUUAGUAGGUUGGUCAUGCCUCUGGUAUGUACUGGUCUCACUGAUUCCUCCUUCCUGAUGAGCCGUAAUGCCAUUAAUUUGGUGUUGCGGGGAAUUUGGACUGUUACUUUGAAAAAAUUAGAGUGUUUAAAGCAAGCUAACGCUUGAAUACAUUAGCAUGGAAUAAUGAAAUAGGACGUUCGAUCCUAUUUUGUUGGUUUCUAGGAUUGACGUAAUGAUUAAUAGGGAUAGUUGGGGGCAUUAGUAUUCAAUUGUCAGAGGUGAAAUUCUUGGAUUUAUUGAAGACUAACUACUGCGAAAGCAUUUGCCAAGGAUGUUUUCAUUAAUCAAGAACGAAAGUUAGGGGAUCGAAGACGAUCAGAUACCGUCGUAGUCUUAACCAUAAACUAUGCCGACUAGGGAUCGGAUGAUGUUAAUUUUUUAAUGACUCAUUCGGCGCCUUACGGG
rnacentral:rRNA from 1 species